GUUCUCUGCUAGAUCUCUCCGGGAUCGCCUUCCUUGCGCACUUUGGUUAUUGAUCUUGCUGAACCGGCCUGAGCGCAGAGGCUGCGCUGCUCUGGGGACGAAGGGAGGGGGGAGAUGAGUAGGCUAGGGAAAUGGUGGUGGGAGGAGAGGUUAAUAAACUUUAGGAGAGGGUGUAGGGCGUUCCUCAGUAGCCCAGAGCCGCCC
ensembl:misc_RNA